UACGGAGGGUGCAAACGUUGCUCGGAAUCAUUGGGCGUAAAGCGCACGUAGGCGGCCUGUUAAGUCGGGGGUGAAAGCCCGGGGCUCAACCCCGGAACUGCCCUCGAAACUAGGUAGCUAGAAUCUUGGAGAGGCGAGUGGAAUUCCACGUGUAGCGGUGAAAUGCGUAGAGAUGUGGAGGAACACCAGUGGCGAAGGCGACUCUUUGGC
rnacentral:rRNA from 1 species